GGGGACGAGGUCCGGCUCCCGUAGGAGUCCGGGCAGAGUCUACCUGCAAUUGGAGUUGAGGGUAAAGUCCGACUCCCGUAGGAGUCCGGAUGAAGUCUGCCUGCAAUUGGAGUCGUGGGCGGAGUCCGGCUCCCGUAGGAGUCCGGAUGUCGCGAAGAAUCCGAUCGACGCUGGUGGGGUCCUGUCCGUCAGCAAAACUUGGGAGUGUUGCGAAGGCUCAGCCGCCUGGGAGGUUUGAAGAGACGUUGUCGGAGGUCGGAAGUUGGUUGGAUCCCUGGAGGGUCACUCCUGUCACGAACUUCGGCUGAUUGGGUAUUUUAUACCCAACAAGCCUGAUACUUUAUCAAUAAUUCAACAUAAUAAGAAAUCAUAGAAUGUUUC
rnacentral:lncRNA from 1 species